CUUGGCCAGGGUGGUCUUGAACUCCUGACCUUGUGAUCCACCCGCCUCGGCCUCCCAAAGCGCUGGGAUUACAGACGUGAGCCACUGUGCCCGGCCAAUAUCCUGAACUUUCUCACCUGCCUUCUCCUCCUAGCUAACGGGCCUCACCUCUUCCAUUCCGGAGAUGAUCCUUGGACAUCUUUUCAGCCAGGAAGAGCUCUCUGGAAAUUCUGAGUUGAUACAAAAGUACAGAAAUAUCAUUACACAUGCACCCAACCUGGAUAACAUUGAAUUGUACUGGAACAGCUACAACAACCGCCGAGACCUGAACUUUGAGCGUGGAGGUGAUAUCACCCUCAAGUGUCCUGUGAUGCUGGUGGUAGGAGACCAAGCACCUCAUGAAGAUGCAGUGGGAGAUCAACUUUGGGGCACUAAGAAUUUGAUUCCUGGUGGAAUGUAACUCAAAACUGGACCCCACCCAGACCUCGUUCCUCAAGAUGGCUGACUCCGGAGGUCAGCCCCAGCUGACUCAGCCAGGCAAACUGACCGAGGCCUUCAAGUACUUCCUGCAAGGCAU
rnacentral:sRNA from 1 species